rnacentral:RNase_P_RNA from 2 species
CCAGAUAAUUGGAUUGUCGCUGUAAAUAUUACAGAGGAAAGUCCGGGCUCCGUAAGGACACAGUGCCAGUUAACGACUGGCGAGGGUGACCUCAGGGACAGUGCCACAGAAAAUAAACCGCCUAAUCAAGGCAAGGGUGAAAAGGUGUGGUAAGAGCACACCGGGUUUUUGGUAACAAAAACCGCAUGGUAAACCCCACUGGGAGCAAGGCUAAAUAGAGGUAACAAAGCUCUUUUGAGCAAAAAACAGUCUUUAGUUAGUUACCUGGGUUAGCCGCACGAGUUUUGACGUGAGUUAAAACCUAGAUAAAUGACAUCUUCAAUGACAAAACCCGGCUUAUAGAUUAUCUGGCAAC